rnacentral:pre_miRNA from 1 species
CUCACACCCAUGUGUGUAGGAUUUCAAAUGAUUAUCAUUAAAUUUGACACAGAUCUCUAUAAAAGUUAUUACAUGGGUGUCGGACGUGACUUUUCUAGAUAUCUAUGUCAAAUUUAAUGAUGAUCCUUUGAAGUCCUACACACAUGGAUGUGGG